CCUACGGGUGGCAGCAGUCGAGAAUCAUUCACAAUGGGGGAAACCCUGAUGGUGCGACGCCGCGUGGGGGAAUGAAGGUCUUCGGAUUGUAAACCCCUGUCAUGUGGGAGCAAAUUAAAAAGAUAGUACCACAAUAGGAAGAGACGGCUAACUCUGUGCCAGCAGCCGCGGUAAUACAGAGGUCUCAAGCGUUGUUCGGAAUCACUGGGCGUAAAGCGUGCGUAGGCUGUUUCGUAAGUCGUGUGUGAAAGGCGCGGGCUCAACCCGCGGACGGCACAUGAUACUGCGAGACUAGAGUAAGGGAGGGGGAACCGGAAUUCUCGGUGUAACAGUGAAAUGCGUAGAUAUCGAGAGGAACACUCGUGGCGAAGGCGGGUUCCUGGACAUUAACUGACGCUGAGGCACGAAGGCCAGGGGAGCGAAAGGGAUUAGAUACCCGUGUAGUC
rnacentral:rRNA from 1 species